rnacentral:rRNA from 1 species
UACGUAGGGUGCGAGCGUUAAUCGGAUUUACUGGGCGUAAAGCGUGCGUAGGCGGCCCGUUAAGACAGGUGUGAAAUCCCUGGGCUCAACCUAGGAAUUGCGCUUGAGACUGGCGGGCUCGAGUACGGUAGAGGGGGGUGGAAUUCCUGGUGUAGCAGUGAAAUGCGUAGAGAUCAGGAGGAACACCGAUGGCGAAGGCAGCCCCCUGGGCCUGUACUGACGCUCAUGCACGAAAGCGUGGGGAGCAAACAGG